CACAAAGAAAUCUCAUAAUGUUUUAAGAAACUUUACCAAUUUGUAUUGGACUGCAUUCAAAGCCAUCCUAGGCCCCAUGUGGCCUGGGGGCUACGGGCUAGAACAGCUUGACCAAUACUGUUUCCUUGUCCUAGAAGGUGCCCUGUUUGAAACUGACCUCUGAGGCCAUCUUCCUGCCUGUGGAGAACAGCCCUGAUCCACAUUUGGUUUUCGGAUGUUUGUGAAUGGAUAAAAGUAGUUUGGUCCCUGUUGCCUCAGGGUGUUUUAAAACCGAAAUGGAAUAUAUCAAAGCAGUCAACCACAAACACAUACACCUGUGCCCUCAGAAGAGGCACAUGGAGCUAAGUGAUGACCCUACGCCAUGCAGAUACCUGGGAACGUGGCAUGAUUUCAGUAUCCAUGCUGCAGGAUCAUAC
rnacentral:lncRNA from 1 species